GAAAAGACAUCAUCCUCUUCUAUAAUCUCCAUCUGUAAUUGGACUAACAACUGGACCAGUGAAUGCAGGCAACUUACUCUCCAUUCGACCUUGCAGGUCACACCAUGGUCUCAAGAGGGAAAAUGAGUGCUCUAUGGAUUGAACAGAAAAGAUUAAUCAAAACUCCAACCAUCUGUAUGAGGGUCUGGAUGGAUAAAGGAUGCCCACUGGAGCUGGAAAUGAUGGAUCAGGUGGAUCCACACUUGAACCAUCUGUAUGAUGAUCUGCACCCACUGGAUCUGUAAAUGGUGGUGCAGGUUUCUGAAUUGAUGUCAGAUGCAAAGCAGAAGCUUAUUUUCUGCCAGUUUGGCUUCAUUGUGGAAAAAUGCUUGAAACUAAAAUGCAGAAUUCUGGCCUGGUGUUUGGUCCCCCUUUCUCUGGCUUGUGUCUCCAUCAUCAUUACACUCUUGUCAGUGUAAUAGUAUCGUCGUCUGCGUACCAGGACUUUGUUACUCAGCUGUCCCUUCUCCUUCAAGCUACAUUUUUGUCAAGCUGCAACAAGUUGGAAUACAUAAUUAUUAACGUUUAAUGAUUUUGAUGUAUGAAAUAUGUAACAAAAGCAAAAAAUGUAUAGACAUUCUAUUAAGAAAUUACCUUUUUGUUGUUUGUUUACUGACCUUUCAACCAUAUUGCAUUUAUAAUUGAUCAUCAUACCUUUGGUCUACUGUUAACAGGCUACUGUAGAAAACAAAGUCAAACAAAAAAGAGAGAAAAAAUUAUAAAUGCUGAAUGUGUCUCAUCUUAAA